GACUGGAGCUAGAAGGGGGCAGGGAAAUGGGACGAUGACCAGAUGUGGCCCAUGGCAAGGCCGUGCAUUGUGAAGGGAGGAGGAGGGUCUGAGAUCCGGGAGCCCUGCAGAGAGUUUGCUGAAGAGUGAAGAAAGGACGGCGUUAGUAAUGGGAUGAGGGAUACUGGAGUCCGAAUUAACAUAGCACACAGAGAGAUAUUCAGGAAAAUACAUCAUAUCUUGCACUUGGGUGGAAAAGAGCAGAAAUCCUUGGUUAACAGGAUUAUACGCAAUGGUGCAGAAAGCAUUCUCUAAAGAAAAAUCAGAGAGGAAGAAACACUGCAUGGAGAAUCCAAGAAACACUCUAAGAAUUGAAGUUAAAAUGUCGGAGGAGGCCUCGUAUGUCUUCUUCUAGGAGGACUCUCAGCUGAUGUUGGUUUUUUUAGUCUGUAUGAGCGAUGGACAAGCUGUCACUACCCAUUAGAUUUUGGGUGGUCCCAGGGGACCAUCCCAAGUUUGAGGAAAGUUGGCAAUGGAAAAAGGAGCAUCUGAUAGGAGCAGUCAGUGAAGUCCUUGGAAUAUCAAGGUAUCAAGCUCCUUUAGACGUUGAUAAGAAGUGGGGUGUGACCUGGACAUAGCCACUGCGGAAAGGAUCCCACUGCCCCGCCCUGGGGACAGUGGCAAGUAAGGACUGUACUCUGUCCUCUGGGCACUGCCCUGCUGGGAGACCAUGCUUCCUCGGCUACAUGGGAUCACUUGGAUGUCAGUGUGCCCAGGUGCUUGAUGGCACUUAUGACUAACUGCACCAGCUUUGCAUGUCCUCCUUCCACAUUUAUGGGGAAUCUGCAUUUAAAUGGAUAAAAACCAGAAUUUAAUUUGGAACAAACCUGGGUGGAAGAAACAUACUAAAAAAAAAAAAA
rnacentral:lncRNA from 1 species